UACGUAGGGUGCGAGCGUUAAUCGGAAUUACUGGGCGUAAAGCGUGCGCAGGCGGUUUGUUAAGACAGAUGUGAAAUCCCCGGGCUUAACCUGGGAACUGCAUUUGUGACUGGCAAGCUAGAGUAUGGCAGAGGGGGGUAGAAUUCCACGUGUAGCAGUGAAAUGCGUAGAGAUGUGGAGGAAUGACCGAUGGCGAAGGCAGCCCCCUGGGCCAAUACUGACGCUCAUGCACGAAAGCGUGGG
rnacentral:rRNA from 1 species